rnacentral:lncRNA from 1 species
CCAAUCCGGAGGUAGGCGCCGAAACGGCCGCUACCAAAAACAGAACGGAGAACCCGCGACGAGCUGGGGGGGGGGGGAGGUGGAGGUGGGAGACAUCUGUGUCGUGCGGGGGUCACGGAGGUCAAGUAUAUGUUAACAAUGGGCAGGCCCGGCUCGCUGGGGCGCGCGGGCGGGCGGCCUACCUCCUGGCUUCAGCCUUUCCAGGGCAGGCUGGACAUGGGGCUGGCUCCCUAAUGAUGCCUUCCCGGGCCGCCUGCUCUCCCGCGGCCAGAGUGCCCUGCAGUAACCCAAGACGACCACUUUCCCCGGCCAUCUGGAGCGCUCCUGGCUGCCCUGCCUGUGUCUCAUCACUGGCUGGAGAGACAGCUCUGCUAGAAAUCAAGCCACUCUCAGAUCUCCUCUCUAAUCCCCUUCUGUUAGCUGAUUUCCAGGCUGACUAUUUGCUUUCGCAUUAGAUAAUAGCCUUAGAGAAAACAAUUAUCAUUUUCUCUUACCUCCCCCCCCCCCCCGCUUUGUUUUUCUGCCUCUCCCGUAGUAUUCCAUUAGGAGGGACUUCUUUCUAUCUCUCGUUUUGGUUGGACCUACCCUCCCCCCUCCCCAACCCCAGACGUUAAUAUCAAUACUUUGGAGGGGGGAGGGAGUCCCCGGAGGAAAAAAAGAUAGGGUGAAAGAAUUCCAGAUAUUUCUAGAAUAAAUAAAUAAUCUAGCAGUGAGGAGGACUGACGAUUUGUACAGAGCAGAAAAGGGCUUGAAUCAUAAUGAAAAUAUUAAUAUGUAGGUCAAAUAUGAUCAGAUAAUGGCUUGCAACGAUAAGUAAAAUGAAAUCUUUUAAAAUUAUUAUGGAACGGUGCCACCACUGCAAAUGUUAUUGUAUUUAGUGCAACCAUUUGAAAUCCUAUGCUGAACCAUGUUUUCCCCAACUGGCCUAAAUCGAUGGGAAAAGUCCUGUGUGCUUGCUUUUCAAUCUCCUCUUUACAAAAGAAGAAAUGCCUGCGUCCGAGUGGGCCCGAUGCUGGGAAAACUGAGGAGACAUUGGGCUGGACACCAACCAAGCGAUCCAAUUGUCCUACUGGAAGGCAACAUAGUCAGAAAAGGCAGAUCUGUUAUACAGGCCCAGCUCUUUCCCCUGGUCUAAGUCUCUCCUCUUCCCGGCAGACUGCAUCUGUGCCUUUUCAGGAAAUCAUCCGAUCACUAUGCCCUUUAGGUUAG